rnacentral:rRNA from 1 species
AUUCCAGCUCCAAUAGCGUAUAUUAAAGUUGUUGCAGUUAAAAAGCUCGUAGUUGGAGUUCAGAGUGAGCUCAGCCGGUCGGCCUCAUGGGUCAGAACUGGUCGACUCUCUCUUGUUUGUGGAUCCCGUCCGGAGUUAACUCUUCGGAAUGUGGAGUUCACAUCGUUUACCUUGAAAAAAUUAGAGUGUUCAAAGCAGGCGUUUGCUUGAAUAUAUUAGCAUGGAAUAAUGGAAUAGGACCCUGGUUCUAUUUUGUUGGUUUUGAGGACCAGAGUAAUGAUUAAUAGGGAUAGUUGGGGGCAUUCAUAUUUCAUUGUCAGAGGUGAAAUUCUUGGAUCUAUGAAAGACAAACAACUGCGAAAGCACUUGCCAAGAGUGUUUUCAUUA